rnacentral:rRNA from 1 species
CCUACGGGAGGCAGCAGUGGGGAAUAUUGCACAAUGGGGGAAACCCUGAUGCAGCAACGCCGCGUGAGUGAAGAAGUAUUUCGGUAUGUAAAGCUCUAUCAGCAGGGAAGAAGAUGACGGUACCUGACUAAGACGCCCCGGCUAACUACGUGCCAGCAGCCGCGGUAAUACGUAGGGGGCAAGCGUUAUCCGGAUUUACUGGGUGUAAAGGGAGCGCAGACGGCAGAGCAAGUCUGGAGUGAAAGCCCGGGGCCAAACCCCGGAACUGCUUUGGAAACUGUGCGGCUGGAGUACUGGAGGGGUAGGCGGAAUUCCUAGUGUAGCGGUGAAAUGCGUAGAUAUUAGGAGGAACACCAGUGGCGAAGGCGGCUUGCUGGACAGUAACUGACGUUGAGGCUCGAAAGCGUGGGGAGCAAACAGGAUUAGAUACCCUUGUAGUC